rnacentral:rRNA from 1 species
UACGUAGGUGGCAAGCGUUGUCCGGAUUUAUUGGGUUUAAAGGGUGCGUAGGCGGCCUAUUAAGUCAGUGGUGAAAUAUCUCAGCUUAAACUGAGAAGGUGCCAAUGAUACUGAUGGGCUUGAGUACAGAUGAGGUAGGCGGAAUUCACGGUGUAGCAGUGAAAUGCGUAGAUAUCGUGAGGAAGACCAGUGGCGAAGGCGGAUCUCUGGACAGCUCCUGACGCUGAGGCGACGAAGGCUAGGGGAGCAAACGGG